rnacentral:rRNA from 1 species
CCCUUAGAUGUUCUGGGCCGCACGCGCGCUACACUGACGAAUGCAACGAGCUUAUAACCUUGGCCGAAAGGUCUGGGUAAUCUCCAAAUUUCGUCGUGAUGGGGAUAGAUUAUUGCAAUUAUUAAUCUUCAACGAGGAAUGCCUAGUAAGCGCAAGUCAUCAGCUCGCGUUGAUUACGUCCCUGCCCUUUGUACACACCGCCCGUCGCUCCUACCGAUUGAAUGGUCCGGUGAAGCGCUCGGACCGCGGCCUCUUGACGGUUCGCUGUCGAUUGGCUGUGGGAAGUUCGUUAAACCUUAUCAUUUAGAGGAAGGAGAAGUCGUAACA